rnacentral:rRNA from 1 species
UACGUAGGUGGCAAGCGUUGUCCGGAAUUAUUGGGCGUAAAGCGCGCGCAGGUGGUUUCUUAAGUCUGAUGUGAAAGCCCACGGCUCAACCGUGGAGGGUCAUUGGAAACUGGGGAACUUGAGUGCAGGAGAGAAGAGUGGAAUUCCACGUGUAGCGGUGAAAUGCGUAGAGAUGUGGAGGAACACCGAUGGCGAAGGCAGCCCCCUGGGCUAACACUGACGCUCAGGCACGAAAGCGUGGGGAGCAAACAGG